AGCAUUAAACAGCACGAAAAUUUCCAUGACAUUGUAAUUUGAAAUGUGAAACAUUUCUGAAAAGGCAUUUUUCAAUUGAACUCCCUUUGAAUCGGGUCAGAGUGGGGUGGCAGGGAGUGCGGGAAAAUGCUUUUUAUUGCAAUACGAAAACUGUCAAGGUAUCGGAUUUCCAGUGAAUGAAUGUGUGAAUACUCGUACUUAUAAUUGCAGUUGCUGCUUUUGGUGUGCUCCGCCCCGCUCGAUUGCACAUAGGUUCCAGAUCCACUCAGUCCCGUAUUCAAUUGCUUGGCUGCGAAUUUGAAUGUGUAUCCCUUUGCUGGUUCAGUUUGACAGACCGCAAAUACAUAGAAGCCGCAAUUUGUAUACGCCCCGUUGUCUGGCCGAAAUGUCCUACAAUUAAAACGUCGACAUUCUGGCUCAUGCGACAAUAACAGUUCUGACAGUAAGGGCCCGACAUAAAAGUGGCGAAGCGAAACGAAAGAACGAAACGGAUUCGCAGAUCCCAAAACCAUUUCAGUGAGUCCUUUUCUGUCACCUUCAGGCUCCUGUCCUGUCUGUCAGUGACAGGCCACACCUUCGCUAAUGGUCGCCCUGUUGGGGGGCUACAACAAUGAUAUCGGUGCUCCUUUGCAUUAUUCUUAUCGCCGAACAACACCGAAGCAAGGAAGGAGGGAAGGCUGGUCAACUCAAUUAAUUACUGCCGUGUGCUGUGCUAUGCUGUGCUGUGUUUCAGGCCCAAAAAGGAUUGUCCCAGCAGCUUUGAUGUUGGACACGUUAAUUGAAAGCGAAACUUGUGCAAAUAACAUUAUCGGAAAAAUUCAAAUUGCAUUAGUUGGCACUGCUUGUGAGCUUGAAGGCAGCCAGAAGAGCGAGCCUGCAGUGGCAUUCAGUUAAGCAGGAGACUCUCAUUGAAUUAGGCAAACACAAUUAGGGAAGAAGGAAAACUUUUGGAUUUCGGUGCGAUGCUUGUCAACACAUUUUGUAUUCCUUGAUGUUUAUAAAUUGGCUUUUCGGCCUCCCAAAAAAGGAGAUGGAGUUCUUUUUCGCUCGACAGCUCCUAAUACGAAAGAGAUGGACUGACAAGUAAUGUAGGAGAGGAGAGUGGAACGACCGCAGCAGCUGGCCAAAAGUUGUUGCCAAGAAGUGUAGGUCCCUUUCCCACAAAAACCAAUUAUACCAUCCAUAUCUCGUUCAGCAUUUCAUCUAUUCGUCCGAAAAAUAUAUGUGCAUUUAUUCUCCCCACAAAAACAGCAAAAGGGAAAAGGUUGCGGCUUGCUCUUUAAAUGGAUUCCGUUCAAAAAACCGCCAGAGAAACUUUCGCUCCGAACCCCAGCAACCCCUUAAAAGUAAGCCGCAGAAUCGUUAACCCAGAAUCAGCGAGUUAUGUAUGUAUUCUGUGGUAUGCAUUAUUGCCGCUACUGUGUUGCAAAUGUCAAUGCUGCAUCUUGAAAUAUGUAAAUAAAUUGCCAAUGCCACAAGACCCACAGGAUAGAGAGAAAAUGGAAAAGUUUCUUCUGACGAAGGUUUUAAAUUUCAGAGGAUUGAAUGAUUAUGCGAUGAAUAAAGUUUGAAACUAAUCAAUAACCAGCAACUUUACACAGUCACAGUCACAGCAAAGUCAAAUGUGAGAGGAAGGUGUAACAACAGUUUUCGGCUUUUAAUGGGCAUAAUUUGAUGAACUUAUGACCCGAUUAACAUAUCAAACUCUGUUCUGCGUAAACUUCUCCUCAAUUAAACAGUCAA